UUUGUUUUGCCGCCGGGUAAAGCAAUUAACAAGCAUUCGAGUUUCACACCGUUAGGCCUUUGAAGGUGUGAGAGUCGAAUGUUUUUGUUU
rnacentral:ncRNA from 1 species